UACGUAGGAGGCAAGCGUUGUCCGGAAUUACUGGGCGUAAAGCGCGUGUAGGCGGUUCAGUAAGUCUGCUGUGAAAGUCCAGGGCUCAACCCUGGGAUGCCGGUGGAUACUGCUGAACUAGAGUGCGGAAGAGGCGAGUGGAAUUCCCGGUGUAGCGGUGAAAUGCGCAGAUAUCGGGAGGAACACCAAUUGCGAAGGCAGCACGCUGGGACGUUACUGACGCUGAGACGCGAAAGCGUGGGGAGCAAACAGG
rnacentral:rRNA from 1 species